CACAGUGGUUUCUGAUAGGGCCUUCAGAGGAUAGCAGUUCAAAGAAUGCUUACCUGACAAAUGGAAUCCGAAGUUGGCAGAGGCCUGAAGACAAAGGCUACAUCAAAUACAUCUGGAAAUUUCACUGGUUCUACAUUUAAAAUAUCUUCAGAAUUCAGAAAGUUCUUCAGACAAAAGGAAUAUGAGACCAACCAUUAACUUUGAUAUACAUCAAGAAAUGAAGAACAUUAGAACUGGAAUCAAGCAAGCCAUCAAGAACAGAGCUUGGUCCUCUGUCUCCACACUUCCCUGGUUUUUGAGGUCCUGCACCGUCCUCUGCCACACACCUGUCCCUGCGUGCCGCUCUCGCCAGGUCUGUGUUCCCGGUCUCCAUUCCAGGUUCCUGCUUCACUUCUCCUUCUCAGGUUUUACUUUCCAUUUCCCUCCUGUUGCACUCUCCACACCCUCCUCUCACUAGCGAGACCUGUAGCGCUUUUUAAGAAAGCUGCAUUAUAUGUACUUCAUGUUUUGCAUGCAUUGAG